UACGUAGGGGGCAAGCGUUGUCCGGAUUUAUUGGGCGUAAAGAGCGUGUAGGCGGCCACACAGGUCCGCUGUGAAAACUCGAGGCUCAACCUCGAGAUGUCGGUGGAAACCGUGUGGCUAGAGUCCGGAAGAGGAGAGUGGAAUUCCCGGUGUAGCGGUGAAAUGCGCAGAUAUCGGGAAGAACACCCGUGGCGAAGGCGGCUCUCUGGGACGGUACUGACGCUGAGACGCGAAAGCGUGGGGAGCGAACAGG
rnacentral:rRNA from 1 species